GACAGAGGAUGCAAGCGUUAUCCGGAAUUACUGGGCGUAAAGCGCACGCAGGCGGUCUUUUAAGUUUGACGUGAAAGCUCCCGGCUUAACUGGGAGAGGUCGUUGAAGACUGGAAGACUUGAGGCAAUGAGAGGGGUGUAGAAUUCCCGGUGUAGUGGUGGAAUGCGUAGAUAUCGGGGGGAAUACCAGUGGCGAAAGCGGCACCCUAGCGUUAGCCUGACGCUCAUGUGCGAAAGCGUGGGGAGCGAACGGG
rnacentral:rRNA from 1 species